ensembl:lncRNA
AGUGCUUCUUGCCUCUGAUUGAAGGGCUGUGUGCAUUUUAAUUGGGCAUGUAGCCAAUAAGAAGAUAGAUCUCAAUGCCAGCACAGUGGGAAAAUCCUGAUGUUCUCUUUGAAGUCUCCAUCAGAACUGCUGAUUCAUUUCUCCAUCCCAACUAAAAGCAUGCAGCCAGAGAAGCAGCGAAAUUGAAAGCAGUCGACAUGAACAAACAUAAUUUGUCCUGGACAAAGCUCCAAUAAUCAAAACGAAAAAAAAUAAACUGGUGGCAGGCUUCAAUUUACUAUCAGUCAGAGGAAUUCCAAACUCAGGUGGCAGAUACAAGACUUGAACAGGAUAAAAAAACAUACAAAAACAUCCAAACCAAGAACAAAUAUAUCUGUUAUUUUAACUACUUUCAAGGGAAGUAAUUAAUAGCAUUUGUCACCAUAGUUAAACAAUUGAUUUUGAACAAUCGUCAUGCCUGUAAUGAUAUUCGUAGAGAGGAAGGGGGUGAUAAGGAAGACAAAAAAGUAUUAGGGUUCAUAUAUGCCAAAAUGAAGAAAAUGAAAAACAAAAUUAGAAAGUUAAAUCUGUGAGAGUACAUGGCAAUAAGAUGAUAACAAGUAAAUCUCCUGUACUAUAUGCUAUUUUCCCCCAGUACCUUGGACAAUAUUUUCACAGAUUCUAAGGGCUGAUAGUGAAAACUGACAAUGCUAUAGCAAAUCCCAAAGUGGAUCUCCCAGGGGACAGAAAGAGCCUGACUUUUCUAGUGUCCCUCAGACACUAAAGUCUGAAAUGGAAUAUUUUCCUUGCAGAUGAUGUCGCACUUUAGGACUGAGGCCAGGCUACGACAUUAUUAAAGACUGCAGCUUCAAAAGCAGGAUCCUACUUCUUCACAAAAGACAGGAACAGUUGGACUGUGAACUGUAAUGCUGGGAAUAGAGAAACCUCUGCCAUUGCUGAUUCCUGUAGAUGUCAUAAGCAGUCUAGUUCUACUCAGUCGGUGUACAGUAGGGCUCUGGUCACACCCAGGAUCUGAGUACUGAAAUAUAGCCAGAGCCUGACUGGUGAGAAGCUACACUGUUGAAGUAUUAUUAGCACUCCUUGCCCCUGAUUAAACUGAGCAUGGAUUAAGAACUAAGAAGCAGAGUGGUCUGAAUUCCAGGAAUGGUAGCAAAUCCUGUCUAUCUCUUAGAUCUGUCCAUCAGAACUGUUGAUUCAUUCUUCCUUCCUACAUGAAUGUGUCUUCAGCAGAAGCAGAGACAUUGAAAGUGGAUGAGAGCAGAAAAAUAUGAUUUACCCUUGUCUCUCACUACAAUUAUCAAAAGGAAAAAAAGACUCUAGGGUCACUGGGAAAAUUGACAAUGACAAAGCAAUUCCUACAGUGGAUCUUCCAGGGGACAGAAAAGAGCCUGACUCCCCUAGUGCUUGUCACACACUGAAGUCUAAACUGGAUCAUCUGCCUUGCAUAUGACUUCAGAUCUGACACAGGGGCAUGAUAUCUUAAAAGAGAAGGAGAAGCAUCAGAAGCAGGAUGCUGCUUCCUGCCCAGGAGACAGAUCAGUGACUGAGAGCUGCAAUUCUGGAAAUCAAACAAACCCUGCCUUUGUUGAUCCCAACAGGCCCUGACUCAUAGAUGUCAGCAUCACUCUGCCUUGUCUCGAUCAGUAUGCAGUUGGUUCUGGUCAUACCUAGGUCUACUGAAUCCUAAGUAUGACCAGAACCAGACUGGUAAGAAGCCUCACUGCUGUUGCUUUUAUUAGCACUCCUUGCCCCUUCUUGAAGGACUGUGUGCAUUCAAAUGGAAUAUCGAAUAGGAACCAAUGAGGAGAGUGUUCUCAUUUCCAGCACUGAAGGCAAACAGUGUGGUUUCCUUGGAGAUCUUCAUAAGAGAUAGUGAUUCAUUUCUCCCUCCCUCCUUAAACUGUGCUACAGAAGGAGUGAAAGUGAAAGUAGAUGAAAGCAGAAAAGUGCAAUUUACCCUGGGUUCUGAUGGCAAUUUUCAAAAGGAAAGAAACCAGUAUGUGACUACCAGGGAUUGAUCAUAAACCUGCUUGUUUCAUCAAGCAUAAUUGUUAUGUUCAUGAAAGCUCCAUUUCUCCCUGGAGAUAGGGUUUCUCUGUGUAGCUAUGGAGCCUAUCCUGGCACUUGCUCUGAGGACCAGACUGGCAAUGAACUCACAGAGAUCCGUCCACCUCUGCCUCCCGAUUGCUUGGAUUAAAGACUUGUGCCACCAACGCCCGACAGCUUCCAGGUCCUUAAAGAGGACAACUAAUAGGCUCCCUUGGUUUUAGAGGCCCUGUCUCCUGAAGAUGUCAGCAGCAGUCUGCCUUGUCUGUGUCCUUGUACAGUCAGCCUCUGACUAUAUCCACGAUCCACUGAGUCCUGGAAUAUAGCCAGAGACUGACUGGUGUAUGACAGCUGAAACAUCUCAACUGAAAAUGGAUGCCAGAAAAAAAAAAUAGUUACCUUGACUCUGACUGCAGUCUUCAAAUGAAUGAGCCAAGCUGUGCAAAGCAGGUUGUUACCAUAUCACAGGAAUUUGUAUGUGAAUCCAGACCAGCUAAAAAAUGCCUCUGUUUUUACCUGAACUGAGUGUUUCCCUCCCCUACCACCCACCCCAACAAAAAUGCUACCUUUCACAGAUCCUCUCUGCUCCCCCUGGAUGGUGAAGCCUUCCAUAGGGGGUCAUCAGAGUCUAACAUAUCCUUUGGGAUAUGGCCUAGGCCACACCAUGUGGCUUGGCUCAGGGAGUAACACUCUAUGUUCCCUUGUCUCCACUUCCUCUCCAGCAUAAACUCUAAUUGAUGUUUUUGAUUUUAGCCAUUCUGACAGGUAUAAGAUGGGAUCUCAGAGUUAUUUUGAUUUGCACUUCCCUGAUGGCUAAGGAUGUUGAACCCAUGUUAUCUGUCUUUCAGCCAUUUUAGAUUCCUCUAUUGAAAAUUGUCUAUUUAGUUCUGUACCCCACUGUUUUAUUUGGAUUUUUUGGUGUUUUGAAGGCUAGCUUCUUGAGUUCUUUUGUAUUUUGGAGCUCAGCCUUCUGUCAGAUGUAGGGUUGGUGAAUGUGUUUUCCUUGUCUGUGGUGUGGUGUUUUGUCUUACUGAUUAUGUCCUUAGCCU